UAGGGAAUCUUCCACAAUGGGCGCAAGCCUGAUGGAGCAACACCGCGUGAGUGAAGAAGGGUUUCGGCUCGUAAAGCUCUGUUUGUUAAAGAAGAACACGUAUGAGAGUAACUGUUCAUACGUUGACGGUAUUUAACCAGAAAGUCACGGCUAACUACGUGCCAG
rnacentral:rRNA from 1 species